rnacentral:tRNA from 1 species
GGAGGCGAACGGGGUCUGGUGGCCCUCCUGGUCUUCAAAACCAGUGGUACGCCAAAAGCGUACGGUGGGUUCGAUUCCCAUCCGCUUCCGCCA